CAGCAGCCGCGGUAAUACAGAGGGUGCAAGCGUUAAUCGGAAUUACUGGGCGUAAAGCGCGCGUAGGUGGUUUGUUAAGUUGGAUGUGAAAUCCCCGGGCUCAACCUGGGAACUGCAUCCAAAACUGGCAGGCUAGAGUAGGGCAGAGGGUGGUGGAAUUUCCUGUGUAGCGGUGAAAUGCGUAGAUAUAGGAAGGAACACCAGUGGCGAAGGCGACCACCUGGGCUCAUACUGACACUGAGGUGCGAAAGCGUGGGGAGCAAACAGGAUUAGAUACCCGAGUAGUCCCUGUCUCUUAUAC
rnacentral:rRNA from 1 species